ensembl:lncRNA
CAGUGUAAAAGAGGUAAAAAUCUUGUAAAAUAGGUAAACCAAAUGAAAUAGACUUUCUACCCCUGGCUAGGUGCCACCUUUGAGCUGCUGUGGCAGGGAGUAAGAAGGAAGGAGAAGGGAGAAAUCUUCUUAGUCAGAUCUUUCUUCAGCACCUGCUUCUAUUGAGCUUCAUGCUGGGUAAGCUAAUUGCCAUGCCUAGCAUUGCCUAUCAACUUCCCUCAGGUGCUUGUGCAAAGAAAGGGGCAGGCCAACUUCCAGUUUUUCAGUGUCAAAAUCAUUCUGAAAAACUGAGUCAUCAGCUACUUGCUUUGUUAACACACUGUUGUGAAGCAGUUAAAGGAAAAUCUUUACUGUAAUACCUACUGCAAGUAGCUAAAACAAAAGGAUAUGCUGCCAAGCUGAUAAAGUUUUUAGACAAAUAAGUUAGGCAUCCAAAAGACAUGAUUCAUCAUGAAUAGGGGUAUUUAAGAUGAGGUUUUAUCCAAAUACUUUUUAAUUUAUAUUUGAAUUUUAAUGAAAAUUGAGCUAAAUGAGAUAAAUAGCAGAGAGAUUUCUGUAUCAAAAAUAUCUUGAAAUUUUCUGUGUUAAGAAUUGGGUGUUCAGUGGUUUGGUGUACCUGAAGUAAGAUAAGUCCCUAAAAAUGUUUUUAAAGACUGUGUUAGGCAUUUAUCUACCUCAGGUCAUCCCUUUGAACCUAGAAGGAAUUUGGCAGAAGCUAGUUUGCUUCCAACCUCAAGUGUCUAAAUACCUUCAGGAAAUUAUCUAGUGGGAUUUCUAGAAGUACUGAAUGUAGGCAACUAAAUUCAGAAUUAAUGGGAAAUAUGAUGAGGCUUUAACAAAUAUAAGAAACAGUAUAUGAAUAUUGUCAAUAUUAUGUAACAUUGCUGCUGCAUGAGAAAAGACUGGUGUUUUUUUUUUCUUUUUUGAGAAUGGCAAUAAUUCUAAAUACCUUUAUUGUUGCUGUAAUUCUUUGCACAAAAGCUCUGUGAAAAAGAUUUUACAUUUUUGAAAUGGCUCAAAAAAAAAGCUCUACAGGCCCUGUAAAGAAUUUUAUUAAGAUGUAUCAUUUUGAUUAAGCAUGAUUAAUUUGUCUUUUUGUUUGGCAUGCAGUGAACAGAUGAAUGUACUAUAUGGUGUCUAGAACACUGCUGAAGGAACGGAACACAUAGCUACACCAGUAAACGUUAACAUAUGUCUAUGUACAUUAUGUUCAUGUUCAGCUGGCCUCAGGCCCCUUAUACUCUUGGGAAGAUGCUUCUGUUGCACCUUCUCUUUCCUGUUAUGGUAUUCUAACAACAUGCUCAUUGUACAUUAAUAUUCCUUAAAAAACUCAUUUUAACUUAAAAAUAUGACAUUUUCUACUACAGGCUGCUUCUUUAUAUGGUCAAGCUGCCUAUGCUGUAAUUAAUUUGUACCAAAUUUCCCAUUCAAUUGAUUUGAUAAAACAUAUACACUGUUUGAAAGUCAUUUAAGUAUUGAGUAUAUUACAACCAAGUAAUGCCAUUCUGUGUCAGCUUUUCAGGUAGUAACCGGAGAGAGGUGAACUACAACAGGCCAGACUUCACUGGAAAAAGAUAAAACCCCACAUUUUCAGGCAUUCUGUAUCCACUACCUACAAUUAGCAAAAGAAAAUUAUUUUCUGCACAGUAAUUAAAAAGUUUAGUACAGAUCUACACUGAAAAAAUCUGAGUAUUUGCAGUACUGCUCCUGCUCUCAUAUUACAGAUGUUAAUUUAAUUUCCAUUACUAUUGUAGCAUUAGGCAUUUCCCUGGCAUAGCUGGUGGAUAUCCUCUUCUCCAAGCAUAGGGCAUUUGCUUAUUGUUUAAGAAGCAAAAUGUAACAGAAACAAUCAAACAAAAAUGUUCUACACCAGCUCUUCUAACAUAAAAUCAUAGAAUCAUUAAGAUUGGAAAAGAUAUCUAAGAUGAUUGAAUCUAAUGGUUAACCCAGCACCAGGAUGUUCACUCCUAAACCAUAUCUCCAAGUGCCACAUCACACACCUUUCAACACUCUGAAGGCUUGUGGCUCAACCUCUUCCUUGGGCAGCCUCUUACAACACCUGACCACCAUUUCAGUAAAAAAAUUCUUCCUAAUAUCUAAUCUAAACCUCCUCUGGUGCAACUUGAGUCCACUUCCUCUUGUCCUGUCCCUUCUCUCUUGGGAGGAGAGACCAACCUCCACCUGACUACAGCCUCCUUUCAGGCAGUUGAAGUCAGAAAUAAUGUCUUCCUCCUUGUUUCCAGGUUAAACACCCCCUGCUCCCCCAGCUGCUCCUCACAGGACUUGUGCUCUAGACCCUUCAUCAGCCCCUCAGUGUCUUUCUCACCGUGAGGGGUACAGAACUAGAUCCAGAACUGGUGUGGCCUCACCAAGAGGACAAUGUCUGCCCUGGUCCUGCUGGCCACACUUCCUGGUACAGGCUAGGAUGUUACUGGGCACACACAGGCUCAUGUUCAGCUGCUGUUAAUCAGCACCCCCAGGUCCUUUUCCACUGGGCAGUUUUCCAGCCACUCUGCUCCCAGACUGAGGUGCUACAUGGGACUGUUGUGAUCCUAGUGAAAAAUAACUAAUCCACUGGGACAUAAACUAAAAAGUGGGAGUCCUCUACAUAAGUUCUUAAUCUAAAUAUUACUUAAGACAUCAAAUCUCACACUGAUUUAGCAAAAAAGAUUUGACAAAGUAUCUGUCUCCAUAAUCGAAAUAGAUUAAUUGAAGUACUUGAAUAAAUGCUAAUUAAAUCUUAGUAUGCUUACAAAUUCUGAAACAUUAAGAUUAUCCUGUAUGCAAAUCUAACCUGUAGUUAUGCAAACAUAUAGUCUCCUAAUCGAAAUAAACUACAAGUGGCAUUUAUCUAAUUAGAGCUUCUGGAGUGACUCACCUGUAGAGCAGAAUUUUCACAUUUUUCAUAAAGGUGGAAGGAUUGCAAAUAUAAAUUAUUUAUCCUCUUCUUUCUGUUUUGCAUAGCAGGCAUUCAGUCAGUGUGAUACAAUGACAUACUUCCUGUAAUUCUUCAACACAGUUCUAAUGCUUACUGACUUCCUAAAACAUAACUGAGUCUGCUUAGUGAAUAACAAAAUUAACUUCCAAAUAAAUCCAAAGCAGCAGUUUUUAAAAACUGAAUAUUCUCAGGAUGCAGUUUAACAGAGUUAGAAAACAUAUUAUUUGAUUAAUAGGACAAUAAUCAAAGUAAAUGGCCAGUUGUUUUUUAAUAAAUUGAUUUUUUACAUUAAAAAAAUUACUUCUCCUAUGCUUCUAGGUUAAGUAGAACAUAGGGUGUGCCUGUGUCUGGCUUUUAAUUCUGUUCAAUUUUUAUUGAUUAAUUAUAUUAGUAAAGUGUUAUUAUUUUAUUUUCUUUUGUUUGGGUGUUUUGAGAAUGGCUGGGUUUUGUUUAUUGCAACUCUUACAUUGCAUAGUAUUGACAGUGUGCUUUGCCUGUCAGUGAGUCUCCUCAUUCUGCAUUUACAGAGGUCAUGCAUUAUAGCUGCAAAGGUGAAAUCUCUCCUUAUUUUCCUGAUGGUAUUGACUUACAUCUUAAAAUAGUUUACCUUUUAGUGACACAGCAUUUAUUUAACACAUCUUACAAAAAAAAAACCCAAACAAACAAACAAACAAAAAAAAACCAACCCAAAAAAACACAGCCCAAAAAAAGGGCACAGAAAGGACAAUGUCUUACCCAUACACUAAGCACAUCUGUCAGCUGUUUAUGUAAACCUCUGUAUUAUCUUAAACCAUAACUGUUUGUGCAUAAAUUUCUAUACCAACCUGUAAAACCUAGUGCUGGUAUUAUUAUAUUUCAGGCUUAAUAUUGGAGCAAGUUCUCAUUGGAGCAAUGGUGUUCUGGCUCAUCACUCUGGAAAGCAAUGUCCAGUUGUUCAGCCUUCUAAGAGAUGGCUGGCUUAGUAAACUUGAUCCAAUCAAAACUAAUGGUUCUAAGUCAGCCAAAUUUAAAAGUACCUAUCAAGCAAGGAAAGAAAAUUAUAGUUACUGAAUGGAGAACUGAUAGUCAGUUACACUGCAUCUCUGCUUCCAGGUUUUUUAUGUGCCUUUACUAUGAGUAGGUGCAGACAGAUCGGGGAUUUCUCCUUUCUUUGUGAACCUUCUUAGGCACAAUCAGGGAAAGAAACUUGUAGGGUUGAAGAGGCACAAGGAAGACUGCCUGGAGUUGGGGGACUGAAGCUCCAAGGAAACACUAGAAACUGUGGUAAAGGACAGACAGCAGAUACCAGGUCACCAAAAUGAUGAAAGAAAUUUCUUGCAACCAUAGAUAAGUGAGAUGUAAGAUAGAUCCAGUUUGGAAGGUCAGUGAUUUGAGUAAAACAAACACUGGAUAACAGGACAAGUCUGCAAAGCAGCAGAGCAAUACAAUGGUUUAUAUUUUCUCUUUAUUUGAGUUCUCUCUGCCUACAAAAUUUGGGAAACUGGUUUAUGUAAUUUCAAAGCCUUUAUUUUAUUUUUUUUUAAUUUAAAAGCCUUUUGAUCUCCUUUGGGGAGUUCACUGUAGGAAAAGCUCUAGUUAAGAUACACCUUAAAGCUUUUAAUAAUCUUGGAUCCUGUUUAACAGACAGUCAACUGAAAGGCAGUGCCUGAAAUGUAGUGCAAAGAGAUAUUAACUACCAGUACACACGUGACAACAGCUAAAGGUUUGAUUUGUUCAGAAGUAAUGAAUUGGGAAUAGAAAAAUAAUUUUCCCUCGUGAUAUUGAGAAGGAAUAGUACUGGAAUAAUAAAUAAAUUUUGAAUAUUCAUUAAAAAUUGUAUAAAAUUGGUGGCAUGUAAUAGAAAAUAGCAGUAAAACAUUUCCGAAGAGAAUGUUUGUGGCAGACUCAAUGAUCUUUGCCCAUGUGUUAUAAUAAAGAAUUAGUGAUGUCUUCCAUGCCAUCCUAAAUGGCUCAAUCACGUCAAAGAGAAAGGCAUAAUGAAAACCACUGUUAGAAAGCUGAAACCAAAGAAAAGAAAAAUAGGACUACAUUUUUAUGUCUAUGGUGAUUAAUUGUGGGAACAAACUACCUAGAGAAUUAUUUGAGUCCCUGUCUCCUAUAUUUCAAAUCAAAAUUAUUGUCUGAAAAAUAUGGCUUAGGAGACUCAAGAUGUUUAAUAAUAGCUGAACUCAUACUAUUUCAUUUAUUAAGGGGAACAAAGACAGUAGGAGGAAGUAAAGUGUUAUAUUGAUAAAAGGCAGGCCAGACUAUAGAAUCUCACAGUUCAGACUGCUUUCAAAAUCUAGAAUCUUUAGGAGUACAAUUGCUGUAAAACACAAAAUACUACCCUUGCUACCCAGGAGACUUUGUAGAUAUUUGACAUCAAGAGUAUACAAAGGUAGUUACCUUUGCAUGCUAACUUAGUGUUUACAGGCAUACCUUCAGUAUCGUCACAUGAAAGAAAGAAGCUUUGUAUCAUUUUUAGUACAUGUUUUCCUGUAAACUCGAACCCUAUGUGUAGGCUACAGGCAAACCAGGAAAUGAAAAAGUCUUAACUGCAGCAGUAGCCAGAUUAGUGGUCUCUCCCAUUCUCUCCUCUAGUGAAAAAUAAAAAUCACAUUAUACACAAAUGUAUUAUGAAAGAAAUUGUACUAAUCUUUGUGAGGAUUUGCAUCCAUAUGUGUUCCUUCUGUAUGUUUUUUUAUCAGAGGAUGGAAAUUUUCAUAUUCUUCCCAGGAAUGUCUAACAGAACAGUGAGACUUAUGGUGGUGUAUUUUUCUUACCCAGAUUAUUCUUAAUAAAUAGAUUCCUGUAUUACCACGUAUACUAAACUAGUGUGUAAGCAAAACUGCUGAAUCAAUACCACAGGUACAGGACUUUAGUGGUUUUGUUUUGUCUUUCCUUUUACUUGUGAUUAACAAGAACUUCUUUGUUUCACUUUGCAUUUAACUCUGUAUGGGAUAGGUUAGCACAGUAUCUUAAAAAAAACACAGUUUCAAGAAGUCUUGUAAGUAGAAUACAUUACAAAGCUUAUAGAUAGGCUAAUGCAAGUAGCUGGAAUUUGAAAUUUCUACCUGAGAAUUUUCCAGAUAUUUUAGAGAAAUUAAUGUAAACCCUCUGAUUUACUUUGAAAUUUUGCUAGCAAAGUUACAUUUCCAAUUCUUUAUGUAUUUACUUUAAUUCAGAUUUGGAAAAAGUACAAUGCUGUUCUUAAAAUUUUUCUGCUGAGCAUGAUUCCUCAGAAAAUUUUCUCACUUUUUUCACACCAAUGCACUUAUUAAAGUAAGUAUAUUGGUUAAUACAGUGAUGUUGCUCUCUGAAUAAAGUAGUUAAACAUAUCUUAGAGGAUAAUUUAUCAUUUAGCAACUUGCAUAACACUGGACAAAGAUACCGAAAAUAUCUUUUUUCCUAGACUGAUUGGUCUCAUUUCAUAAGGUCUCCAAACACAAAUUUUAAAGAAUGAAAAGAUUUUUGAAAAAUGAUGACAGCAUCAGUUAAUAAAACUUUAAAAACUUAUGCUGCAAAUCUUAGUCACAUAGUUUUUUAGAGCAUUCCACUAGUGGGUACAAGUAAUUUUUGAAGGAAAUCCAGGCUCAGGACUUCUGUUUAAACAGUCAGACUGGGCAACCGGACAUGGAUAACUGUUAAGCUUUCUAUUUUUCAAAUCACAGGUAUCAUAGGAAAAGAGUCUGAAUGUGAAGAUAUGAAAAUGAGCAUCCAUUGUUAUAGGAAAUGUCAGACACAGAAGUCUUAAAUAUCUUUUUUACCUAGAUUUUUCUCCUUUCCUCUUCAAGGAAAAAAAAAAAAAAAAAAAAAAA